GUUGAGGGGCAGCAUGAAUGAUAGCAAUAUUAUUUGAUGGCGACCAGCGCACGGGUGCGUAACACGUAUGCAAUCUACCUUAUACUGGAGCACAACCCCGAGAAAUCGAGGCUAAUUCUCCAUAACACCGCAUGAUAGCAUUAUCAAGCGGUUAAAGCUCAGGCGGUAUAAGAUGAGCAUGCGCCCGAUUAGCUAGUUGGCGAGGUAAUGGCUCACCAAGGCUACGAUCGGUAGGGGGUCUGAGAGGAUGAUCCCCCACACUGGUACUGAGACACGGACCAGACUCCUACGGGAGGCAGCAGUGAGGAAUAUUGCACAAUGGGGGCAACCCUGAUGCAGCCAUGCCGCGUGCAGGAUUGAAGGCGCUAUGCGUUGUAAACUGCUUUUGUACGGGAAAAAACCCUCGCUCGUGAGCGAGGCUGAUGGUACCGUAAGAAUAAGCACCGGCUAACUCCGUGCCAGCAGCCGCGGUAAUACGGAGGGUGCAAGCGUUAUCCGGAUUUAUCGGGUUUAAAGGGUCCGUAGGCGGAUCGUUAAGUCAGCGGUGAAAGCCCACAGCUCAACUGUGGAAUUGCCGUUGAUACUGGCGGUCUUGAGUAUAAGUGAAGUUGGCGGAAUGUGUGGUGUAGCGGUGAAAUGCUUAGAUAUCCCACAGAACACCGAUUGCGAAGGCAGCUGGCUAACUUGUAACUGACGCUGA
rnacentral:rRNA from 1 species